rnacentral:rRNA from 1 species
AGUGAACGCUGGCGGUAGGCCUAACACAUGCAAGUCGAACGGCAGCACAGUAAGAGCUUGCUCUUACGGGUGGCGAGUGGCGGACGGGUGAGGAAUACAUCGGAAUCUACUUUUUCGUGGGGGAUAACGUAGGGAAACUUACGCUAAUACCGCAUACGACCUACGGGUGAUAGCAGGGGAUCUUCGGACCUUGCGCGAUUGAAUGAGCCGAUGUCGGAUUAGCUAGUUGGCGGGGUAAAGGCCCACCAAGGCGACGAUCCGUAGCUGGUCUGAGAGGAUGAUCAGCCACACUGGAACUGAGACACGGUCCAGACUCCUACGGGAGGCAGCAGUGGGGAAUACUGGACAAUGGGCGCAAGCCUGAUCCAGCCAUACCGCGUGGGUGAAGAAGGCCUUCGGGUUGUAAAGCCCUGUUGUUGGGAAAGAAAAGCAGCAGGUUAAUACCCCGCUGUUCUGACGGUACCCAAAGAAUAAGCACCGGCUAACUUCGUG